rnacentral:rRNA from 1 species
CUCAGGAUGAACGCUAGCGGCAGGCUUAACACAUGCAAGUCGAGGGGCAUCGGGAGUAGCAAUACUUGCCGGCGACCGGCGCAAGGGUGCGUAACGCGUGAGCAACAUGCCCGUAUCAGGGGGAUAAUCCAUGGAAACGUGGUCUAAUACCCCAUAGUAAUUAUGUAAGGCAUCUUAUAUAAUUUAAAGCUUUGGUGGAUACGGAUUGGCUCGCGUGACAUUAGCUAGAUGGUAAGGUAACGGCUUACCAUGGCUACGAUGUCUAGGGGUUCUGAGAGGAAGGUCCCCCACACUGGAACUGAGACACGGUCCAGACUCCUACGGGAGGCAGCAGUGAGGAAUAUUGGACAAUGGAUGGAAAUCUGAUCCAGCCAUGCCGCGUGCAAGGAAGACGGCCCUAUGGGUUGUAAACUGCUUUUGUAUGGGAGCAAUAAGGGCUACGUGUAGUCCGAUGAGAGUACCAUACGAAUAAGCACCGGCUAACUCCGUGCCAGCCGCCGC